UGUUUGAUGUUCUAACGUGGACCCGUGAUCCGGGUUGCGGACAGUGUCUGGUGGGUAGUUUGACUGGGGCGGUCUCCUCCUAAAGAGUAACGGAGGAGCACGAAGGUUGGCUAAUCCUGGUCGGACAUCAGGAGGUUAGUGCAAUGGCAUAAGCCAGCUUGACUGCGAGCGUGACGGCGCGAGCAGGUGCGAAAGCAGGUCAUAGUGAUCCGGUGGUUCUGAAUGGAAGGGCCAUCGCUCAACGGAUAAAAGGUACUCCGGGGAUAACAGGCUGAUACCGCCCAAGAGUUCAUAUCGACGGCGGUGUUUGGCACCUCGAUGUCGGCUCAUCACAUCCUGGGGCUGAAGUAGGUCCCAAGGGUAUGGCUGUUCGCCAUUUAAAGUGGUACGCGAGCUGGGUUUAGAACGUCGUGAGACAGUUCGGUCCCUAUCUGCCGUGG
rnacentral:rRNA from 1 species